CAUGCAGUCGAGGGGCAGCAUGAAAGUAGCAAUACUUUUGAUGGCGACCGGCGGACGGGUGCGUAACGCGUAUGCAACCUACCCUUUACAGGGGGAUAACACCGAGAAAUCGGUACUAAUACCCCAUAAUAUUCCGGGAGGCAUCUUUCGGAGUUGAAAGCUUUGGUGGUAAAGGAUGGGCAUGCGUUGUAUUAGCUAGUUGGUAAGGUAACGGCUUACCAAGGCGACGAUACAUAGGGGGACUGAGAGGUUAACCCCCCACAUUGGUACUGAGACACGGACCAAACUCCUACGGGAGGCAGCAGUGAGGAAUAUUGGUCAAUGGACGGAAGUCUGAACCAGCCAUGCCGCGUGCAGGAAGACGGCUCUAUGAGUUGUAAACUGCUUUUGUACGAGGGUAAACGCAGAUACGUGUAUCUGCCUGAAAGUAUCGUACGAAUAAGGAUCGGCUAACUCCGUGCCAGCAGCCGCGGUAAUACGGAGGAUCCAAGCGUUAUCCGGAUUUAUUGGGUUUAAAGGGUGCGUAGGCGGUUUAGUAAGUCAGCGGUGAAAUUUUGGUGCUUAACACCAAACGUGCCGUUGAUACUGCUGGGCUAGAGAGUAGUUGCGGUAGGCGGAAUGUAUGGUGUAGCGGUGAAAUGCUUAGAGAUCAUACAGAACACCGAUUGCGAAGGCAGCUUACCAAACUAUAUCUGACGUUGAGGCACGAAAGCGUGGGGAGCAAACAGGAUUAGAUACCCUGGUAGUCCACGCAGUAAACGAUGAUAGCUCGUUGUCGGCGAUACACAGUCGGUGACUAAGAGAAAUCGAUAAGCUAUCCACCUGGGGAGUACGUUCGCAAGAAUGAAACUCAAAGGAAUUGACGGGGGCCCGCACAAGCGGAGGAACAUGUGGUUUAAUUCGAUGAUACGCGAGGAAACCUUACCCGGGCUUGAAAGUUACUGACGAUUCUGGAAACAGGAUUUCCCUU
rnacentral:rRNA from 1 species